rnacentral:rRNA from 1 species
UCGACUGUUUACCAAAAACAUAGUUUAUAUAAUUAUUAUAGAUGGGACCUGGUCAAUGGAAAAAUUUAAAAAAAUUUUUUUUAAUUCAUGUCUUAGCGUGAGGAUAAUAAAGUAGCGUAAUCAUUUGAUAUUUAAUUGGUAUCUAGUAUGAAAGGUGAAACGAUUAUGACAUUGUUUCAAAUUUUUAAAUAAAAAUUAAAUUAAUAGUUAAGAUUCUAUUAAAAUAAAUUUAGACAAAAAGACCCUAUAAACUUUUACUAAAACCUAUUUUUAAUUAUAAAAUUGAUAAAUUGGUCGUUAGUUUAACUGGGGCAGUUGUCUUUUAAAAAAACUAAGAUAAAUUUUGUUUAUUUAAUAAAAUUAACAAUUUUUUUAAAAAAUUUGAACUUAUAAAUUAAAUUAAAUUUAUAAAUUACUAGAUAAAAAGUACUUUAGGGAUAACAGCGUAAUUUAAAAAUAGAGAAUGAAAUCAAAUUUUAAGUUUGCGACCUCGAUGUUGAAUAU